rnacentral:rRNA from 1 species
UACGUAGGGUGCGAGCGUUAAUCGGAAUUACUGGGCGUAAAGCGUGCGCAGGCGGUUCGUGAUGUCUGAUGUGAAAGCCCCGGGCUCAACCUGUGAAUUGCAUUGGAAACUAGCGGGCUGGAGUGUGGCAGAGGGGGGUGGAAUUCCACGUGUAGCAGUGAAAUGCGUAGAGAUGUGGAGGAACACCGAUGGCGAAGGCAGCCCCCUGGGCUAACACUGACGCUCAUGCACGAAAGCGUGGGGAGCAAACAGG